UACAGAGGUCUCAAGCGUUGUUCGGAUUCAUUGGGCGUAAAGGGUGCGUAGGCGGCAGCGCAAGUCAGGUGUGAAAUCCCGGGGCUCAACCCCGGAACUGCACUUGAUACUGCGUUGCUAGAGUACUGGAGAGGAGACUGGAAUUUACGGUGUAGCAGUGAAAUGCGUAGAUAUCGUAAGGAAGACCAGUGGCGAAGGCGAGUCUCUGGACAGUUACUGACGCUGAGGCACGAAGGCCAGGGGAGCAAACGGG
rnacentral:rRNA from 1 species